rnacentral:tRNA from 1 species
GGCCUGCGCGUCUACUUGACGGGAUCCGCGCUUACACCGCGGAGGUCGUCGGUUCGAGACCGGCCGGGCCCA